GAUCGUUAAUCUAUAAACUAGUUAAUAUGGUUACCAUAAAGCGUGUUGAGAUCGAUUAACUGGUCGUUAAAAACCCUAUUCAAAGAAAAUUACAAAUGUAUGUGGCCAUAUGUUGCCCCUCAGGUGGAUACUGACAUUUGGUCAGUUUUACCCCGUCAAGUAGUCACAAGAUGCGGCUAUUCAGGAUAUACAGAAGAUAAUGGGCCUGGGUGUUUCACCCUUAUUGUCAUUGCUGUCAAAAAAUCUGGAUUAAGACACGAAAAAUUGUAUUGCUGAUUCAGCCGCAUUUCGUAACGUAUCAUCUUGAAACUUUGCAUACUUAUUCUUUGUACCCUAAGUAACAUCCCUAAGUGGAUACCGCCUCGAAGAUGUAACCACCCACUCCAUGAAACAUCAAAACGGAAGCCACGGCGAGGAAUAACCUCCAUGGAAAUCAAGGAUGUAUUCCUGAUUUGGAAUACGAAAAUGCCAGUUGGUUCAGGUAUUUACAGAAAUUGUGCUCUUGAACACAAGAAAAAAGGUUAGCUCUCUUAAAAUGCCACCCACACCUCAACCUCGGGAAGCUGUUAUAAUCAUAGCAGUAUCUCAAGAACCUGGUCAACAAGAACUAGAUCAGCCUCAGCCUGAGCAGAUGGUUUUAGGAGAUUCUCAAGAAGCACCACCACCACCUGAUAAAGAGAUUGUUGAAACAGCCAUAAUAGUCAGCAAUAUGGAUGAAUCUGGCGACACGCUUGACCUUCCUAAUGUUAUUCUAUCACCAGAGAUUUCAUCAUCUUCUGAUAAUCAUAGUGAUAGCCCACCCACACCACUAGGCAUUUCGUAUGCACCGACGCCAGUGCCACGAAACCAGCAGUUGAUUGCACUGAACCAAUUUCUAAAAUCCGGUGGUUAUACAGAAGUUUCUAGUCAACUGCUGAAACCACUAAAUGAAAUACAGCCUAGUACUCUACGCUAUUAUAAAAGGAAGGCAAAGGAAGGAAUAAACCUUCUUAUGCAGUCUUUAGCCCCUAAUGACUAUAAGGAACUUUUGAAAUUGGCAGUGUUACCUGACCCUGUAGAAGGAAAGGACUUAGUAGAAACUCUUGUAGCGUGUUAUCAUGCCUGUGAUUCUAGUCAAACCAAAAGACAGUUACUUUCAAUAUUGGUGGAAGGAAGGACAAAAAAACAGCUUCAUGUGCUCUGUGGUCCGCAACGAGGCAGAAAAUUCCACCACGAGCGCGAUGUGGACAUUGAAUUUUUAUUUCCGUUUCCGGUAAAUUUUGUCGCAAUUUUGCCUCACGUUUCCCCACUAUUAAUCUGCUCUCUAGUUAUGUGCUCUGUGGAUUAAAGGAAGCCGUCGCUCAGAUGAUGCUGGAGACAAUCUAUUCAGUCUCCAGUCCCGGCUUCUUUUGAUCUGGGUCAUAUCAGGUGGCGGCGAUAACGGAACUGACAAGAAGUGUUCAUCAUUCAUAUAAUAUACUGUGGAUAUGAUGGCUGAUGGAAUACUCGCUUUCGUGUCUUAUUAUUGUAUUUGUCACUUUUGUAUUGAAUUCUAUUCUAAAUCUCUUACGAUUAGAUGAACAUACUAAUUUGAACGAUAAAUUAUAGCAUAAUAGUAUCGAGUGAGGGGAUUGUUCUCGGGCAUAGGAAUCAAAUCCUCAAAAUACGGUAUUUCGCUAUACUACUCAUGUUAGUAAAUUCAUACUCUAUACUUACUAAAUCCUAUUUCUAGAUCUAAGAACUUUUUAAAAAUAUUUUGUUAUUAGUGAUUGUCGUGUAAAAAAUAAAAUCCCUUUCUUUGUUUGCAAAUAAAAGUUCUGAAUUGGAGCUUACCAGAUGAGUCGCAUCAUUUCAUUAUUCAUAAAUACCUAUCAAAAUCCUUUAUAUCAAAAUUGACAAAAAUUUCGAGAAUCCUAGCCUCACAGGAUACUAUUAUUGAUGACCAAUCAAUCCUGCGCCCCAUGUAAAGGUGAAGGGGUGAUGAAUUGCCUCGAUUAGGACUCUUAACCUCAUCUCUCGGUUCCAAUUCAUCUAUUUAAAUGACACAAUAUACUGAUUUUUCUCAUUUUUUGCUCACGACGAGACUGAGUGACUGAUUUUUGUCAAAGUUUUUCUCAAUGUUGUAGCCUAGCGGCCGUGGAUUUUAUUGUCGAUAUUGUUAGGACAUAUAGUUGACUCAAUAUACUUACCCCCGAUUUCGACCCAACCCCUGCUGCAGACGAGAUAUAGCACCUCAAAGAUUGGGUACAUUUCACUAUGCGAAAAGUGGUAAACAGAAAACGACCCCCCGCCGCUAAGGACUAUAACAUUGGGUUGGUCUUUCAUGUUGGGUUUAAAGGGGCCGACCCCCACUAUCCACCCACAAUCGGACAUAAUCACUAACCUGAUGCUUUUAGUAGAAUUUGAUAGCUGAAAAAUGACAAAUUUUCAUCGAAAAUUCGCCCAAAAUGGCUAAAAAUCGACAUAGGGCCAUAUCUAAGAGGGGGUUAAUAUUUGGGGUCGGCCAUUUUGGUUUUUUGCA